rnacentral:rRNA from 1 species
GGUGAACGCUGGCGGCGUGCUUAAGACAUGCAAGUCGAACGGCAGUCUUCGGACUGUAGUGGCGCACGGGUGAGUAACGCGUAACUGACCUACCCCAAAGUCGCGGAUAACGAUUCGAAAGAAUCGCUAAUACGUGAUGUGCUGUCAGAUCCUGUUCUGCCAGUAAAGAUUGAUUGCUUUGGGAUGGGGUUGCGUUCCAUCAGCUAGUUGGUGGGGUAAAGGCCCACCAAGGCGACGACGGAUAGCCGGCCUGAGAGGGUGGCCGGCCACAGGGGCACUGAGACAUGGGUCCCACUCCUACGGGAGGCAGCAGUUAGGAAUCUUCCACAAUGGGCGAAAGCCUGAUGGAGCGACGCCGCGUGAGGGAUGAAGGUCUUCGGAUCGUAAACCUCUGAAUCAGGGACGAAAGACACUUCGGUGGGAUGACGGUACCUGAGUAAUAGCACCGGCUAACUCCGUGCCAGCCGCCGCCGUAAUAC